rnacentral:rRNA from 1 species
GACGAACUGUUCUAACGUUAUUCGGAAUCACUGGGCUUAAAGGGCGCGUAGGCUGUUUGUUAAGCGGGGUCUGAAAUCCCUCGGCUCAACCGAGGAACUGGGCUUCGAACUGGCAGACUAGAGUGAAGUAGGGGUAAGCGGAACUUGCGGUGGAGCGGUGAAAUGCUUUGAUAUCGCAAGGAACACCGGCGGCGAAGGCGGCUUACUGGGCUUCAACUGACGCUUAAGCGCGAAAGCUAGGGUAGCGAACGGGAUUAGAUACCCGGGUAGUCCCUGAGCGGGCUGG